rnacentral:rRNA from 1 species
AGAGUUUGAUCCUGGCUCAGGAUGAACGCUAGCGGGAGGCUUAACACAUGCAAGUCGAGGGGCAGCACGAGGUAGCAAUACUUUGGUGGCGACCGGCGCACGGGUGAGUAACGCGUAUGCAACCUACCCUGUACUGGGAGAUAACCCGGAGAAAUUCGGACUAAUAUCCCAUAAAGAUAUUUUGAGGCAUCUCUGAAUAUUUAAAGUUCCGACGGUACGGGAUGGGCAUGCGUAAGAUUAGCUAGUUGGCAGGGUAACGGCCUACCAAGGCUCCGAUCUUUAGGGGUCCUGAGAGGGUGAUCCCCCACACUGGUACUGAGACACGGACCAGACUCCUACGGGAGGCAGCAGUGAGGAAUAUUGGUCAAUGGGCGCAAGCCUGAACCAGCCAUCCCGCGUGAAGGAAGAAGGCGCUAUGCGUUGUAAACUUCUUUUCCAGGGGAAUAAAAUUUUGUACGUGUACGGAAUUGAAGGUACCCUGGGAAUAAGCAUCGGCUAACUCCGUGCCAGCAGCCGCGGUAAUACGGAGGAUGCAAGCGUUAUCCGGAUUUAUUGGGUUUAAAGGGUGCGCAGGCGGAAUAGUAAGUCAGUGGUGAAAACCUGCAGCUUAACUGUAGAAUUGCCAUUGAUACUGUUAUUCUUGAGUAUGGUCAAGGUAGGCGGAAUGUGUAAUGUAGCGGUAAAUGCUUAGAUAUUACACAGAACACCGAUUGCGAAGGCAGCUUACUGGGCCAUUACUGACGCUCAUGCACGAAAGCGUGGGGAUCGAACAGGAUUAGAUACCCUGGUAGUCCACGCCCUAAACGAUGUCAACUGGUUGUUGGGGAAGGUAACUUCCUUAGUAACGAAGCUAACGCGUGAAGUUGACCGCCUGGGGAGUACGGCCGCAAGGUUAAAACUUAAAGGAAUUGACGG